rfam:Aggregatibacter actinomycetemcomitans D11S-1, complete genome.
GAUGAUAUACCAAAAUGGUUUAUUUUAUUUUGAUGUAGAAAUUGAAUUUGAUAUAGUGCGUAGAUAACAAAUAAAAGUUCUUUAUCAAAUAAAAAAUUAGUAUAACUAUACCUUAUUUCAAAAUGAAGGAGGUAUAGUACCAUCUCAAUAUUU